UCCCCAGAUAGUCUAGGUGGUUAGGAUAGCUGGUCUCACCAGCAGACCCGGGUUCGAAGUCCCGGUCUGGGAA
rnacentral:tRNA from 1 species